rfam:Ceriporiopsis subvermispora B unplaced genomic scaffold CERSTscaffold_14, whole genome shotgun sequence.
GGUUCCGUGGUCUAAUGGUUAUGACGUCUGCUUCACACGCUGAAGGUUCCCGGUUCGAUCCCGGGCGGAGCCA